CAUGCAAGUCGAACGGAAACCUUCGGGUUUUAGUGGCGAACGGGUGAGUAACACGUAAGCAACCUACCCUAAAGACGAGGAUAACCAUUGGAAACAGUGGCUAAGACUGGAUAGGAAGAUAAAAGGCAUCUUGUAUCUUUUAAAAGACCUAGUUAAUAGGUAUGCUUUAGGAGGGGCUUGCGCCAUAUUAGUUAGUUGGUAGGGUAAUGGCCUACCAAGACGAUGAUGUGUAGCUGGACUGAGAGGUUGAACAGCCACAUUGGGACUGAGACACGGCCCAAACUCCUACGGGAGGCAGCAGUAGGGAAUUUUCGGCAAUGGAGGAAACUCUGACCGAGCAACGCCGCGUGAAUGACGAAGUACUUCGGUAUGUAAAGUUCUUUUAUCGAGGAAGAAAAGCAAAUGGCGAACCAUUUGUUUGCCGGUACUUGAUGAAUAAGCCCCGGCUAAUUAUGUGCCAGCAGCCGCGGUAAGACAUAAGGGGCAAGUGUUAUCCGGAAUUAUUGGGCGUAAAGGGUGCGUAGGCGGUCUAGUAAGUCAGUGGUGUAAUGGCAACGCUUAACGUUGUCCGGCUAUUGAAACUGCUAAACUUGAGUUAGAUAGAGGCGAGUGGAAUUCCAUGUGUAGCGGUAAAAUGCGUAAAUAUAUGGAGGAACACCAGAGGCGUAGGCGGCUCGCUGGGUCUUAACUGACGCUGAGGCACGAAAGCGUGGGGAGCAAACAGGAUUAGAUACCCUGGUAGUCCACGCCGUAAACGAUGAGUACUAAGUGUCGGGUUAAACCGGUACUGAAGUUAACACAUUAAGUACUCCGCCUGAGUAGUACGUACGCAAGUAUGAAACUUAAAGGAAUUGACGGGACUCCGCACAAGCGGUGGAUCAUGUUGUUUAAUUCGAAGAUACCCGAAAAACCUUACCAGGUCUUGACAUGUUUUUGCAAAAUGAUAGUAAUAUCGUGGAGGUUACCAGAAACACAGGUGGUGCAUGGUUGUCGUCAGCUCGUGUCGUGAGAUGUUAGGUUAAGUCCUAAAACGAGCGAAACCCUUAUCGUUAGUUGCCAGCACGUUAUGGUGGGGACUUUAACGAGACUGCCAAUGAUAAAUUGGAGGAAGGUGAGGAUCACGUCAAAUCAGCAUGCCCCUUAUGACCUGGGCUACAAACGUGAUACAAUGGCUGUUACAAAGGGUAGCUGAAACGCAAGUUCUUGGCCAAUCCCCAAAAACAGUCCCAGUCCGGAUUGAAGUCUGCAACUCGACUUCAUGAAGUUGGAAUCGCUAGUAAUCGCGAAUCAGCAUGUCGCGGUGAAUACGUUCUCGGGGUUAGUACACACCGCCCGUCAAACCACGAAAGUUGGCAAUACCCCAAAACGGUAGCCUAACUCGUUUAUUCGAGAGGGCGCCGUCUAAGGUAGGGUCGAUGAUUGGGGUUAAG
rnacentral:rRNA from 1 species